rnacentral:rRNA from 1 species
UGAAUACGAGACGCUAAGGCGUCGAAGUAGUGUAUGUCAUACUUCCAAGAAAAGCUUGCACUGUCAUAGAUAAAAAACGCCUGUACCAUAACCGACACAGGUGGGUAGGUAGAGUAUACUAAGGGGCGCGAGAUAACUCUCUCUAAGGAACUCGGCAAAAUAACUCCGUAACUUCGGGAGAAGGAGUGCCUUAUUCGUAAGGUUGCAAUAACAAGAUCCAAGCAACUGUUUAUCAAAAACACAGGUCUCCGCUAAGUCGUAAGACGAUGUAUGGGGGCUGACGCCUGCCCAGUGCCAGAAGGUUAAAGAAGUUGGUUAGCAAUUGCGAAGCUGAUAACUGAAGCCCUGGUGAACGGCGGCCGUAACAAUAACGGUCCUAAGGUAGCGAAAUUCCUUGUCGGGUAAGUUCCGACCCGCACGAAAGGCGUAAUGAUUUGGAUACUGUCUCGGAGAGGGGCUCGGUGAAAUAGACUUGUCUGUGAAGAUGCGGACUACCUGCACCAGGACAGAAAGACCCUAUGAAGCUUUACUGUAACUUGAAAUUGAAAUUGGACUUUAUUCGCGCAGUAUAGGUGGGAGGCGUUGAUUAUAAUCUUGUGGGAUUAUUGGAGCCAUCAGUGAGAUACCACUCUUGUAAUGUUAGAUUUCUAACUUUGAAUCAUUAUCUGGUCAAAGAACAGUUUCAGGCGGGCAGUUUGACUGGGGCGGUCGCCUCCUAAACGGUAACGGAGGCGUACAAAGGUUUCCUCUGAACGGUUAGAAAUCGUAUCUAGAGUGUAAAGGCAUAAGGAAGCUUGACUGUGAGACCUACAAGUCGAGCAGGGACGAAAGUCGGUCUUAGUGAUCUGACGGUACUGAGUGGAAAGGCCGUCACUCAACGGAUAAAAGUUACUCUAGGAUAACAGGCUGAUCUCCCCCAAGAGUUCACAUCGACGGGAAGGUUUGGCACCUCGAUGUCGGCUCAUCGCAUCCUGGGGCGGUAGUACGUCCCAAGGGUUGGGCUGUUCGCCCAUGAAAGCGGUACGCGAGCUGGGUUCAGAACGUCGUGAGACAGUUCGGUCCAUAUCCGGUGUAGGCGUUAGAAUAUUGAGAGGAGCCUUCUUUAGUACGAGAGGACCGAGAAGGACAUACCUCUGGUGUACCAGUUAUCGUGCCAACGGUAAACGCUGGGUAGCUAUGUAUGGAGUGGAUAACCGCUGAAAGCAUCUAAGUGGGAAGCCCACCUCAAGAUAAGUAUUCUCACC